AGAGUUUGAUCAUGGCUCAGAACGAACGCUGGCGGCAGGCUUAACACAUGCAAGUCGAGCGCCCCGCAAGGGGAGCGGCAGACGGGUGAGUAACGCGUGGGAAUCUACCUUUUGCUACGGAAUAACUCAGGGAAACUUGUGCUAAUACCGUAUGUGCCCUUUGGGGGAAAGAUUUAUCGGCAAAGGAUGAGCCCGCGUUGGAUUAGGUAGUUGGUGGGGUAAUGAUAAGCACCGGCUAACUCCGUGCCAGCAGCCGCGGUAAUACGGAGGGUGCAAGCGUUGUCCGGAUUUAUUGGGUUUAAAGGGUGCGUAGGCGGCUUAUUAAGUCAGGGGUGAAAGACUGCAGCUCAACUGUAGCAGUGCCUUUGAUACUGAUGAGCUUGAGUACAGAUGAGGCUGGCGGAAUGGGUGGUGUAGCGGUGAAAUGCAUAGAUACCAUCCAGAACACCGAUUGCGAAGGCAGCCGGCUAAACUGUAACUGACGCUGAGGCACGAAAGCGUGGGGAUCGAACAGGAUUAGAUACCCUAGUAGUCC
rnacentral:rRNA from 1 species